rnacentral:rRNA from 1 species
GACGAACGCUGGCGGCGUGCCUAAUACAUGCAAGUAGAACGCACAGUUUAUACCGUAGCUUGCUACACCAUAGACUGUGAGUUGCGAACGGGUGAGUAACGCGUAGGUAACCUGCCUGGUAGCGGGGGAUAACUAUUGGAAACGAUAGCUAAUACCGCAUAAUAUUAAUUAUUGCAUGAUAAUUAAUUGAAAGGUGCAAUUGCACCACUACCAGAUGGACCUGCGUUGUAUUAGCUAGUAGGUGAGGUAACGGCCCACCUAGGCGACGAUACAUAGCCGACCUGAGAGGGUGAUCGGCCACACUGGGACUGAGACACGGCCCAGACUCCUACGGGAGGCAGCAGUAGGGAAUCUUCGGCAAUGGACGAAAGUCUGACCGAGCAACGCCGCGUGAGUGAAGAAGGUUUUCGGAUCGUAAAGCUCUGUUGUAAGAGAAGAACGGGUGUGAGAGUGGAAAGUUCACACUGUGACGGUAGCUUACCAGAAAGGGACGGCUAACUACGUG